AGAGUUUGAUCAUGGCUCAGGACGAACGCUGGCGGCGUGCCUAAUACAUGCAAGUCGAGCGAAUCGAUGGGAGCUUGCUCCCAUUGAUUAGCGGCGGACGGGUGAGUAACACGUGGGUAACCUGCCUGUAAGACUGGGAUAACUUCGGGAAACCGGAGCUAAUACCGGAUAGUUUCUUUUCUCGCAUGAGAGAAGAUGGAAAGAUGGUUUCGGCUAUCACUUACAGAUGGACCCGCGGCGCAUUAGCUAGUUGGUGAGGUAAUGGCUCACCAAGGCAACGAUGCGUAGCCGACCUGAGAGGGUGAUCGGCCACACUGGGACUGAGACACGGCCCAGACUCCUACGGGAGGCAGCAGUAGGGAAUCUUCCGCAAUGGACGAAAGUCUGACGGAGCAACGCCGCGUGAACGAAGAAGGCCUUCGGGUCGUAGAGUUCUGUUGUUAGGGAAGAACAAGUACGAGAGUAACUGCUCGUACCUUGACGGUACCUAACCAGAAAGCACGGCUAACUACGUGCCAGCAGCCGCGGUA
rnacentral:rRNA from 1 species